CAAUAGCGUAUAUUAAAGUUGUUGCAGUUAAAAAGCUCGUAGUUGGGUUUGUGGUGUGUCCAGUCGGCCUUUGCUCUCUGAGUGAUUGUGCUGUACUGGUCUGCCAUGUUUGGGUGGAAUCUGUGUGGCAUUAAGUUGUCGUGCAGGGGAUGCCCAUCGUUUACUGUGAAAAAAUUAGAGUGUUUAAAGCAGGCUUAUGCCGUUGAAUAUACUAGCAUGGAAUAAUAAGAUAGGACUUUGAGUCUAUUUUGUUGGUUUGCGAGUCAAAGUAAUGAUUAAUAGGGACAGUUGGGGGUAUUCGUAUUUCAUUGUCAGAGGUGAAAUUCUUGGAUUUCUGAAAGACGAACUACUGCGAAAGCAUUUACCAAGGAUGUUUUCAUUA
rnacentral:rRNA from 1 species